rnacentral:rRNA from 1 species
AGAGUUUGAUCCUGGCUCAGAACGAACGCUGGCGGCAGGCUUAACACAUGCAAGUCGAACGGGCGUAGCAAUACGUCAGUGGCAGACGGGUGAGUAACGCGUGGGAACGUACCUUUUGGUUCGGAACAACACAGGGAAACUUGUGCUAAUACCGGAUAAGCCCUUACGGGGAAAGAUUUAUCGCCGAAAGAUCGGCCCGCGUCUGAUUAGCUAGUUGGUGAGGUAAUGGCUCACCAAGGCGACGAUCAGUAGCUGGUCUGAGAGGAUGAUCAGCCACAUUGGGACUGAGACACGGCCCAGACUCCUACGGGAGGCAGCAGUGGGGAAUAUUGGACAAUGGGGGCAACCCUGAUCCAGCCAUGCCGCGUGAGUGAAGAAGGCCUUAGGGUUGUAAAGCUCUUUUGGCGGGGACGAUAAUGACGGUACCCGCAGAAUAAGCCCCGGCUAACUUCGUGCCAGCAGCCGCGGUAAU